CAGCAGCCACGGUAAUACGGAGGGGGCUAGCGUUGUUCGGAAUUACUGGGCGUAAAGCGCACGUAGGCGGCUAUUCAAGUCAGGGGUGAAAGCCCGGGGCUCAACCUCGGAACUGCCUUUGAAACUAGAUAGCUAGAAUCUUGGAGAGGCGAGUGGAAUUCCGAGUGUAGAGGUGAAAUUCGUAGAUAUUCGGAAGAACACCAGUGGCGAAGGCGACUUGCUGGACGAGUAUUGACGCUGAGGUGCGAAAGCGUGGGGAGCAAACAGGAUUAGAUACCCCUGUAGUCCCUGUCUCUUAUAC
rnacentral:rRNA from 1 species